AUUGAACGCUGGCGGCAGGCCUAACACAUGCAAGUCGAGCGAGUGGCGGACGGGUGAGUAAUGUAUGGGAAACUGCCCGAUGGAGGGGGAUAACUACUGGAAACGGUGGCUAAUACCGCAUACUAUCGGAUGAACCCAUAUGGGAUUAGCUAGUUGGUGGGGUAAAGGCUCACCAAGGCGACGAUCACUAGCUGGUCUGAGAGGAUGAUCAGCCACACUGGUACUGAGACACGGCCCAGACUCCUACGGGAGGCAGCAGUGGGGAAUAUUGCACAAUGGGCGCAAGCCUGAUGCAGCCAUGCCGCGUGUAUGAAGAAGGCCUUAGGGUUGUAAAGUACUUUCAGCGGGGAGGCGUUACCCGCAGAAGAAGCACCGGCUAACUCCGUGCCAGCCGCCGCGGUAAUUC
rnacentral:rRNA from 1 species